UACAGAGACUGCAAGCGUUAUUCGGAUUCACUGGGCGUAAAGGGUGCGCAGGCGGCUUUGUGUGUCAGGGGUGAAAGCCCGGGGCUUAACCCCGGAAUUGCGCCUGAAACUACAUGACUAGAGCAUUGGAGAGGGUAGCGGAAUUCACGGUGUAGCAGUGAAAUGCGUAGAUAUCGUGAGGAACACCAGAGGCGAAGGCGGCUACCUGGACAAUUGCUGACGCUCAGGCACGAAAGCGUGGGGAGCAAACAGG
rnacentral:rRNA from 1 species